rnacentral:lncRNA from 1 species
CACCGCUGCUCAGCAGCUGGUUUCCACCAUCCGCAAAAGCCAGUGAACGCACGCUUCCGUUCAUCUUGAGGGUUCCAAUGAGCUGCUUUGUCUUGGCAGAAAUAAGAAGGAUGUACCCUUCGUUACCGACAAAAGCAAUGGUUCUCGAAUCAGGUGAUAUCUCAAAGCUCUCCAGGCUUUUCUCCUCACGCCCCGUCAAAGGUCCAAUCUUGCUAACAGCAGCAUUCACCAGGUCAAAUGAGUAGAAGAACUUUCUCCUGCCUGAUAGCAUCACCUCAGAGCCAUCAGGUAGAAAUGAGGCCUUGUGUACUGGACAGUCCCCAAUGAAUAUGCUCUGGAUCUUGGGGUUUCUCUUUCCAUCAAUCUGGAAAAACCUGAGAUGCUUGUCCAAACCUGCAGCAAGCAUCAGCUGCCCAUUCCUAUGAAACUGCACUGAAUUGAUAGGACCACUUGAUGGAUCCUGGAUAUUGGCAUCAACAAGUCUUGAGAACUCUAACAUGCCCAGCUGUCAUGAUACGGGCUGUAUGGACAUCCCUAUGGUCAAGUAUUGCAGGUGUCAUCCUUGGUUUUUACUCCACCCACCCUAAAUCCGACCGUUGUCAUCCCUACCUCCACCUUGCUGCCGUCAAUGUUGGAAACGGGCCCUUCGUUGGAUCUUAGGCCUGGCCCAUCUAUGUUGGAAGCGGCCUGGCUCCAAGACGGACUCCGACUCUGAUCCUGAGCCGCUGCGACGAACCGUACCGAAGCGAACAGGGCAAGCGCCGACAAUAAAAUGAGACGCGACACCACCGACUCCUUCCUCAAUCGAGAGUUCGAGAUCUAGAACUAGGGUUCCAAAUCCCCAAUAGACGAAAGGAAUCCCCAAAGGCACUGGUUGCAGAGGAGACGGGCCUCUUUUUCUAAAGAGGCAGAGGCGGCGGCGGCGGCAGUGGUUGUAGAGGAGACGUCUUCUUUUUCCAUGGAUGACAAGAAGGCACGUUCUCCUACGGUGGUGCAGGACUCUGAGGCCGUGGCCGAUGCGGAGGAGGCUGUUGCUGAUGCCAAGGCAGCAGCGGCCGCCGCCGGUGGCGACGGAGAGGACGACUGCCCGACGUGGAUGACCUGGACGCAGUUCGUCGUGGCCAAUAAGAGGCUAUCCCGGGAGGAGAUUGAUUCAAUCCUGUCCCGGCAGCGGAAGCCUUUCGAGUCCACGGAUUUGUACGAGGAUAUGAUUGAGGACAGCUCUACUACUAAGGAGGAUCUUGAGCGUGAGGCUGCAGAUCACGAGUACCACGAGGACAAAUUAUCCGUGUGGCGGGACAGGGUGCGCAAGGAGUAUGCAGACAAGGGAUUCUUCGCGGUGGACGACGAUUAUAUUGCCGAGAGGCUCGAAUUGGAGGAAUAUUACAACCAGUCUGUGAGAGAAAUGCUCUCUGAGCUUAAUCUAGACGCGUCCAUCUUCGGUGACGAGUGAGCAAGACAAGGAAGUGAAGAUUAAUGUGGAGAUUUAUAUGUAAUCUACCCAGCUGGGAUGAUUGCAGACUAUAUGUCUAUCUUUGUUUUUUUUAUAUCUAUCUUAUAUUCUUAAUUAUUUUUGUUGCCCUCCACCAAUGUAAUGGGUCUAUCCGUCUAUGAAGACAGUGUCUCUGUCUAUCUUAUUAGCAGCUAUGAUGCCCAAUGAGCAGUACAUGUUGCAGACCAGAAUGCUUUUGUUGAUUGAAAUGAUGUUUUCAAGGUCUUGGGUUCACCGAGCAUGAACUCUGGAUAAUCUUUAAUAUCAUAAAUUCAUAAUAUCGAUCUAUGGUGUUAUCCUUUUUCGUUUCUUAAUUUCUGUUGCUUGGACACCUCUUUUUUCUUCUGUUAUUAAUAUGUAUUAACCAGUUCAAUGCGCUGAUGACACUUUAUAUAAAAAUCCUGUUUACAACAAUGCACUAUUAAUAUGCCGAGAGAUCCAAAUUCUAUGGUGCUAAUUUGUGCAGUCCUCUGUGUUACAACAAUGCGUUGUUCAAUUCUUCAUUGAAAGAUCUAGUAAGCUUGCAUGAACUGGCCUUUGUUCAGACAUGCUGCUAGAGAAACAGUGAUAGCUAACAUAAUUUCCUGGUGUGUGAAGCAACAUGUGGCGUUUAGUUAUUUUAAUUAUUAGCAACUACUCACUCUGUCCUGAAGGUAGUACUUCUAUUUUCAUAUAAGUAAAGUUGUAAUUUGUGUUACUAUAGACCCAAAUAGUUGCUUAGUAAAGCAUGCCCCAAAAGUCAGUAUUUAUGUAUAUAGUUAAGGGGAAAUAGUUGAGGUUUUGUGAUGUUAACCUUGCUAGAAAAUAUAGUUGCUGUUUUUCCCCUUUACAGUAAUCUUUUCUUUUUCCAAUGGGUUACAGUUUUCUUGAUCAAUCAAAAGUUUCAAGUAUAAUUGUUUGGUUAUUCGUUUUCGUUUGCUUUACAGUUGAAGUUUCUGAAUGCCUGGGACUGCAGGAUCAUAUUGCAUGAUAGAAUGAUGGCCAAGCAGCCCUUCAGUCUGAUUAAAAUCAAUUGGUGCUUUAUCAUUGUAUUGUCAUAUAGUCUUAUAGACUAUGGCUGAUAAUCUGGCUUGUCUCAUUACAGUUUGGGUGCACACUAACAUGAAGAUGCUGACAGGCAGAAUGACUUCUUGACUUCGGUGACGAGUGACCAAGAUGACGACUUCCUCGACAAGGAAGAAGGAAAGGCAGAUUAAUUUGCAAGAUGAACCCUUGUAUGACAUAUUAGGUCUUUCUGAGAGUUAAUUUGCAACCAAUUCUGCUAUUAAGGGAGCUCUGUACGUUUCCCCUAUAUUUUCUGAUAUCUAUGAAGGAAAGUGGUUUUCGUAUCUUACUGAAAAACAUUUGCCAUGUUGAUGGUCACAUGUGAAUUGUGAGUUUUGGAUACAGCUAGGAAGUACUUCAUACAUGAACAUUUUUACCAUGAAUAAGAGUUAAUUUUCCAUAAUCUUUAGUUACUUUCAGAUCUACGGCUAUCAUAAAAAAGUAUAGGAUUUUCAUAGGAGGGCACAUCAGCAUAAAUUACAAAUUGAUGUAUUGGAAACAGAGAAGGGGACUGCAACACUAGAAGCAAGAGCCUCUGUCAGGGAAUUUAGCUUUGAUGUCUUCAAAUUAGACGACGGCAGGAAAUCCAUAGUACAUCCGUAGUUACAACAUCAUUGACCGAUAACCCUCGACCAAAGGAGCGACGCUCAAUACAAACAUGUAAAUAGUACUCCUAGGCCAAAGGGGUAAUAGUGUAGCACCGCUAUAUUUUAAACUUAAACAAAGAUUCUAAAAGUAGAACAACAGCUUGCAUUUAGAUAACGUCUUUUUUCUUGUAUGAUCUCAAAUCAGAACUCUGUAACAUCAUUUCGGGUCUCAGAUUAGCUUAAACAAACAAUGCAGUACAUACGAAGCAAAUAAAUGGCUGCUAGCAAAAGUUUAUUCACAGCAGAUGAAGCGCUCCAUUCCCCAGCAGAUUGUAAGUUCUUAUUGAUUGGUGAUGAGCACCCGGCACAGCAUCACUUCAGGGAACAUCCGCCAAGAAAGGAUCAGGGUCGCAGCAGGCGAACUAGACGAUCAAAACCGCACAGAUAUUCAGUGAACAUGCUUACAGAUGGUAACAGCUGCCAUGAUGCAGGACUAGUGCUUCACAAUUAACAAGCAUUUGGGUUAAAAAAAAUAUCACAAGCGCUAUAUUUCUAGCCGUCGGAGAUAGUUCACCACCAGCUCGGAAGACAAAAGGGGAUGCUUGCAUACAUCCAAUCCAAAGGAUUCAGAGUCUGACUGCAAUGAACAUACCCAUGUAUACUCACAUAAUAUAUGGCUCCAGACUCCAGGAUGACUCCCAUAAGCCCAGUAACAGGAAACUGAAAUUCCGCAAUCAACAACCACCAUAGAGCAAUAGCAGCAUAACAAACUGCAUACGACUAAAAAAGAGAAGUACGAGAUUGCCAGCAUGUAUCAAGCAUUGAAACCAGUGGCAGCAAAGCGUAAAGUGCAAUGACUGGAACGAAUCAGCAUACACUUGAUUCAUGGAGUGUUCAAGAGUACAAACAUAAUGCCAAAACUGGGUUUUGCCAAGUAACCAUCCUAGUCUCAUGCGUUUUUAUAGUGGUGAAGCUUGUAUAGAAGGACUUUUCCACCCGCGUGUCCAACAGACAAGAACCCGCUGCCAGGGCUGAAAUCCAGGCACCGUGGAUAGUGAAGGCUGAACCGAGGCCCUGGCCAGUUCUGGAACACGCUGAACGACGGGACGUGCACAAGCCUCAUCCCAUUCCUCUCUUUCCUUGAGCUGAUUGCCAAGAUCUGGGCAUCAUGGUUGAAUUUCAUUUCGCCAAUGUCAGUGGUCAGGUUUUCGAUUGUCUUCAGUGGCUUCCUCUUCCCACCAAGAAAAUCAUCCCUCUUGUACACAUUCACGAUGCCGCUGGUGGAGCCUGUGGCAAACAAAGAGCUGUCCUGCGAGGUGCAAAUUGAAAUGCCAGCCAGGGAACCAUCGUCAAAAGCCUUGUGGAUGCACUUCCUCGUUCCGAGAUCCCAGUGGUAAACAUGGCCAUCUCCACCGCUGCUCAGCAGCUGGUUUCCACCAUCCGCAAAAGCCAGUGAACGCACGCUUCCGUUCAUCUUGAGGGUUCCAAUGAGCUGCUUUGUCUUGGCAGAAAUAAGAAGGAUGUACCCUUCGUUACCGACAAAAGCAAUGGUUCUCGAAUCAGGUGAUAUCUCAAAGCUCUCCAGGCUUUUCUCCUCACGCCCCGUCAAAGGUCCAAUCUUGCUAACAGCAGCAUUCACCAGGUCAAAUGAGUAGAAGAACUUUCUCCUGCCUGAUAGGAUCACCUCAGAGCCAUCAGGUAGAAAUGAGGCCUUGUGUACUGGACAGUCCCCAAUGAAUAUGCUCUGGAUCUUGGGGUUUCUCUUUCCAUCAAUCUGGAAAAACCUGAGAUGCUUG